GACGAACGCUGGCGGCGUGCUUAACACAUGCAAGUCGAACGGAAAGGCCCUGCUUUUGUGGGGUGCUCGAGUGGCGAACGGGUGAGUAACACGUGAGUAACCUGCCCUUGACUUUGGGAUAACUUCAGGAAACUGGGGCUAAUACCGGAUAGGAGCUCCUGCUGCAUGGUGGGGGUUGGAAAGUUUCGGCGGUUGGGGAUGGACUCGCGGCUUAUCAGCUUGUUGGUGGGGUAGUGGCUUACCAAGGCUUUGACGGGUAGCCGGCCUGGGAGGGUGACCGGCCAACAUUGGGCUUGGGUUCCGGCCAGGAUCCCUACGGGAGGAAGAGGUGGGGAUAAUUGCCCAAGGGGCGGAGGCUGGAGGCAGCAACGCGGCGGGCGGGAGGCCGGCCUUCGGUUUGUAAACCGCUUUCGCUGUGACGAAGCGUGAGUGACGGUAAUGGGUAAAGAAGCACCGGCUAACUACGUG
rnacentral:rRNA from 1 species